AACGGCCAUACCAUGCUGAAUAGACCGGUUCUCGUUAGAUCAACGAAGUCAAGCAUCAUUGGGCGCAGUCAGUACUUGGGCGGGUGACAU